rnacentral:rRNA from 1 species
GACACUGAGGGUUCGAAAGCGUGGGUAGCAAACAGGAUUAGAUACCCUGGUAGUCCACGCCGUAAACGAUGUCUACUAGUCGUUGGGUCCCUUGAGGACUUAGUGACGCAGCUAACGCAAUAAGUAGACCGCCUGGGGAGUACGGCCGCAAGGUUAAAACUCAAAUGAAUUGACGGGGGCCCGCACAAGCGGUGGAGCAUGUGGUUUAAUUCGAUGCAACGCGAAGAACCUUACCUGGUCUUGACAUAUCUAGAAUCUUGUAGAGAUACGAGAGUGCCUUCGGGAAUUAGAAUACAGGUGCUGCAUGGCUGUCGUCAGCUCGUGUCGUGAGAUGUUGGGUUAAGUCCCGCAACGAGCGCAACCCUUGUCCUUAGUUACCAGCGGGUUAAGCCGGGAACUCUAAGGAUACUGCCAGUGACAAACUGGAGGAAGGCGGGGACGACGUCAAGUCAUCAUGGCCCUUACGACCAGGGCUACACACGUGCUACAAUGGUAGGUACAGAGGGCAGCUACACAGCGAUGUGAUGCGAAUCUUUUAAAGCCUAUCGUAGUCCAGAUUGGAGUCUGCAACUCGACUCCAUGAAGUAGGAAUCGCUAGUAAUCGCGGAUCAGAAUGCCGCGGUGAAUACGUUCCCGGGCCUUGUACACACCGCCCGUCACACCAUGGGAGUUGAUUGCACCAGAAGUGGUUAGCC